AUUGAACGCUGGCGGCAGGCCUAACACAUGCAAGUCGAGCGAGCGGCGGACGGGUGAGUAAUGUCUGGGAAACUGCCUGAUGGAGGGGGAUAACUACUGGAAACGGUAGCUAAUACCGCAUACCAUCAGAUGUGCCCAGAUGGGAUUAGCUAGUAGGUGGGGUAACGGCUCACCUAGGCGACGAUCCCUAGCUGGUCUGCGAGGAUGACCAGCCACACUGGAAUGGAGACACGGUCCAGACUCCUACGGGAGGCAGCAGUGGGACAUAUUGCAAAAGGUGCGCAAGCAGGCUGCAGUCAUGCCGCGUGUGUGAAGAAGGCCUUCGGGUUGUAAAGCACUUUCAGCCGGGAGGCGUUACCCGCAGAAGAAGCACCGGCUAACUCCGUGCCAGCAGCCGCGGUAAUAC
rnacentral:rRNA from 1 species